AUGAACGCGUAGCGGCAGGCUUAAUACAUGCAAGGUUGAGGGGCAGCAUGAUAUACGCGAGUAUAUUGAUGGCGACCGGCGGACGGGUGAGUAAUAGGUAGGAGACCUACCUCAUACAGGGGGAUAGCAUAGAGAAAUCUGUGGUAAUACCCCAUGAGGUUAUAUGAAUAGAGGCAUAUAAUCAAAGCAUAAGCGAUUAUGCGGUAUGAGAGGGGCCUACUGACCAUUAGCUAGUUGGUGAGGUAAGGGCUCACCAAGGCGAAGAUGGUUAGGGGUUUUGAGAGAGAGACCCCCCACAUUGGAACUGAGAGACGGUCCAGACUCCUACGGGAGGCAGCAGUAGGGAAUAUUGGGCAAUGGGCGAAAGCCUGACCCAGCCAUGCCGCGUGAAGGAAGACGGCCUUAUGGGUUGUAAACUUCUUUACUACGCGAAUAGAGGUUAGUACGAGAUACUAAUAGGAAGGUAGUGUAGUAAAAAGCACCGGCUAACUCCGUG
rnacentral:rRNA from 1 species